AUUUUUACUAGGAUUAAAUGUCAGGAAUCGUGAAAUGCUGAGAUGAAAUGUAUUUGGCUAAGGUGUAUAUAAACUUCUGACUUCAACUGUAUGUUAUUAUCAGGUGUUUCUAAACAAACUGGGAAAGAUGUGCAUUUCUGGAUAGGUCUGUCUCUUACUCAGAGAGGGAAGGGAUCUGGAAAUGGGUGGAUGGAACAACAAUGUGAGUAAUAUUUACCUAUACUUUCACAUGUGCUCCAUCUCCGGCCUCUAGGUCACCAGGCUGCUCGUUAUGGCGCGCACCUGUCACCAUCGUUACGCGCACCUGCACGUCGUCAGACUCACCUGGACUCCAUCACUUCCCUGAUUACCUUCCCUAUAUAUGUCAAUCCCUUUGGUUCCUUCCUCAGGCGUCAUUGUUUCUGUUUCAUGUCUGUGCGUUGUUCGUGUGUUUGUUUUACGUUUCGUUUAUUGAUUAAAUCUCUCACUCCCUGAACUUGCUUCCCGACUCUCAGCGCACUUCGUUACAUAUACUUGUUUCUUUUUUGAAGCGUAUUGAUUCUUGUACUAAUAUCAUGUUGAAAUGAUUUUCUGCUGAACAGGUUAUUAGGUUCUGGAGAGGAGGAGAACCUAAUAAUGCCGGUGGGGACGAGGAUUCUGUGGUCUUCAACAGGUUUAUUGAUCUGUCUGUGCCCUGGGCAACUAUUGAGUUAGGGAAUGACCAGCUGUCACGAUUUCCGCCGAAUUCGGUCCCUCUCCUUGUUCGGGCGGCGUUCGGCGGUCGACGUCACCGACUUUCUAGCCACCGCCGAUCCACUUUUCAUUUUCCAUUUGUUCUGUCUUUGUCUUAUCACACCUGGCUUCACUCACCAAUCACUUGUUUAUUAUUUAACCCUCUGUUCCCCAUGUUGUAUUUGUGAGUGAUUGUUAUUUGUUACGUGGAUGAUUGUCAGGCGUUGCACUUUUGUUUUAGACUGUGUGUUUGGCACUUGUAUGUGUUAUGUGCUGUCGUUUGUUAACCGGUAUUAAAGUGCACCUGUUUAUUAUACGCCGCUCUCCUGCACUUGACUUCGCCUCCCAUAUACACGCAUUACACCAGCUUUGCUCAGGGAUUACUCAAUGGGUAUGUGAGAGCACACCUAAAGUGUCAUAGCAUAAUGAAUUACGUCCACAAUGGGAGAAUAAUAUCUGAAUUCCAUUUUGAGUUAGAAGUUGUAUUAUCACAAAUUAUUGUUGUAGUGUAAUUUAAAUAAAUUACAGUAUAACAUUAGUUCUGAAUAGUAAUGAUUGUAGUUAUAAUUUGUAAUGAUUGAAUUGAUAUAAUAUAGAGUUGCUUAUAAAGAACCAUAGUAUUAUGAAAGUGCAACUCUGAUCUGAAAGCUAAUGUAGUGAAGUGACAUGCAGUGUCAAGUCUAAUCAUCUAGCAGUAAAUUGCGAACAAGGCAAGUGCCAUGCUUCAAUUUGGAUUUGUUUCUUUGUCAGAUGGGAUGAUAAUUAUAGGCUACUUAGUAAUUAAUUUUGGCUCUGUCGUGGAAACUCUAACCAAAAAGGAAGAGAUUGCAGAUUCUUCAAAACAACUUAUUUUAUUGUAAGAUUUGUAAAUCUGGAGCGGUUAACAAUCACUCAAAAGGUGCAGAGUUAAAAGCCCAAAGAAAUUGAGUUGGGUCUCAGCUUUUCUAGAAAGUACAACUCCCUUUUAGGUGGUGUGACAACCAGAGAGAACAAUAGCCGUGGGGAAGCAUUGGUUGAUGACCCAAAGGUACAGCCAAAGAACUAUGGAACUGAGAGGCUGCGGUUGGCCUGUGGUGAGGUCUUGCUGAGAAAUGUCACUCCCUUUCCCAGUGCUCAUUGUCGCAACACUGUUUCUCAAAAGAAUCUAAACCAUUUGUCUUGCUCGUCUCUCACAGCUUAGUUCAGUGUACUGCUAAAUAACAGGAUAUUGAGUCAGUAACUUAGACAAAGGGAAAGUGUUCUAGCAGAGGGAGCAAGUCUCAUUAUUACAUUAUCUGACUUUAGUUAACAAAUCUUCUUAGGGCUAGGCCCCUUUUCUCAAAAACAAAUUCCUUUUAAAUUGGAACCAAGUAAUUUCAUGGAAAUGGUAGUAGAGAAGGACAGAAUUGCUAUUACUGUCUGUCUGUGUGUGGUUGAAGACCACAGCAUUAGUUCCUCUUGGUAUCAGAACAGCAUUGGUUUAUGAGGGAGAAACUGGUCCGCUGGAAAGACUAUGAUACAUACAGUAGUACCAAGUCAGGUGUAUGUUACAUUUGUUUUUCUACACCUGCAGGACUGAAACUUGGGAAUCAGAACUGUCAGCCUUACUGACUGGCCCCAGUUUCUCUGGGACUGCUGUGUGUUCUCUUGCUGACCGCAGUCAUAAGUCUCUCUGUAGACUGAGUAUUCAACAAUCACAGGUGGUAGGGUGUGUGUGUGUGUGUGUGUGUGUGUGUGUGUGUGUGUGUGUGUGUGUGUAAAGAAACAUAAAAUGAUACAUUUGUUCUCUGUUCCAUCACAGAUGACGAUGACUACAAUCACCUGUCCAGAACUCUUUCUCUUCUAACGGCCAAACAUACUUCAGAGAAGGAAUAUCAUCAGACUAGUUCCGAAAACCUGACGUAAGGAGAGUGACCAGCUGGAGACUUCUUUCAAUGCCUUGAAUAUUGACAGAGACCAGUUACAGACCCGUUUUAACACCUUGGCUGAAGAGAAAUACCAGUUACAAAGGAAAAUGUCAGAGCUGGAAAGAACGAUUUCAGAAGAACUGGGUGAGUAUGUAUAUUGUGCUAAUAACUGUGAAUUUGAGUUGACGUGAAAAAGGUAUUAUGAUAUAUUGAAGUUAUAUGACUGUAUUGACUGACAUGCUCUCCUUCUGCAGGAUGCUGUCCUGUCGGUUGGUAGGAGAUUCAAGUCUAGCUGUUAUUACCUCUCUUUUGAGGAGAGAACUUGGAGUCAGAGCAUAGCAGAAUGAAUAGAGGAGCGGACCUUGAGAUCGUAAAUAGUAGAGACAAACAGGUGAAAAAGAGGGAGAGAGACAGAUACAGACAGGCAGAGAUAAACAUACCAACUAUGUUUUCCCCAGGUGUUUCUGAAUAAAUUGGGUAACAAUCUGAAAUUCUGGAUUGGUCUGACUGAGUCAGUGAAGGAAGGGACCUGGAAAUGGGUGGAUGGAACAACUCCCACUACAAUCAAUACAAUCAGUGCAUUUGAAGCAGAGGAGAGGAUGCCACCGAUGACUACUGGGAUACACACAGUGAAGGAGGUUGGCUUCAAGAGAAGAGUUUGUAUCUGUGGGUAGUCUACACUAGUGUCCGACCCAGCACAAGCUCAGAUCAUUCAUUUAUUGUAAGGUGAUUUCUGUGAAGCUGUUUGUCUCAGAGCCUGACUUAACAGGAUAGACCUAAAGUGUCAGCUAAAACUAUCUGGGACGGGGAUUGGACAAAGAGGACAGAGAUCCGGUUGUUUUGCUGUCAACCUGCAUUAUUAUGGAAUACUUGACAGGAGUCAUGUUGCUCUUGGCAACAAUGCUCACUACAGUCAACAGUGCAGAGCAGUGCCAGUGACGAGGAGCGGUUGAACAUGGAACUGAGCUUGGUGGACGACCGCUACCCGCCGUGCAGGGAGGAGAUGACGGGGAACAUCACCGCAGGCGACCUGCUGACCAGGGAACGCCAGGCCAGGCCCUUUCUCCACCGCCUGGUCGCAUGCUGAACACUACAAAAUGACCAUGGCGAACCUCACUGACCUCCAUGUCACAGCGCUGACCCUCUACACAAACACAUACAACCGCACCUUCCGUGGAAGCCAGAUCUCUGGGCCCCGACGCCAAUGUCUACCGUCGGUACUUCCUGUUCAAGUCCCUCCACUUCCUGCUGACUGAUGCCCUGCGGCUCCUGAUAGGGGGGGAGGAGGUGGAGGCAGAGUUGGAGCAGGAUGGGAAGGGCUGCCUGCUGGUGUAUGCUGACAGCGGGCACAGGGACAACUUGUGAGGGGAGGUGGGGGAUCAGGUGCGCACCAGGCACUUCGUCCUGGAGUCCACGCGGCGGUACUGCUCCAGCUUUGACCUGACCAUCCUGCCCCGCUCGCACUCGCACCACUGCCGCUCCUCUUCAGGCCUCAAUGUCCUGGUGCCACCCUACGAGCUGUUCAGGGUGGUGGCGGUAAAGAAGGUACCUAACAAAUGGGGAAGUGCUCUGAUGUGGCACUUCUACCUGGAGUCUAUUGGCACUAUGACCAACCUCAAAAGCGCUAUGAACGGCAAGUCUGCCAUGUGAACGGCAAGUCAGUUUGUACAAACCCUAAGCAAAUAAAGUUUGUUUGAAGAAUCGAUUAAUUGAUUAACUGAAAUAUUUUUCAGUAACCACAACUACCCACUACUCAGAGCCAUAAACAUGGAUUGCAAUCAUCACUUUUUUUCUCUCUCUACAUAUAAAAAACUCAAACCUACCUUCCUAAUGUACCAAUACAUCUCUCUAAACUCUAAAUUUGGUAGAUAUGGCAGUAUAGUCCGUGGCGAUGUCUCCCUAGUAGACCAUUCAUACAGCAUUGAUGUCUUUCUAGUAGACCUGUCAGUGUCUGUUUCUCAGUACGGUCUGCAUCCUCCAAAAGCCCUGCAUGCUUAUCCGACGAGUCCAACUCAAACAUUCCAUCUCCCUAAACACUUCCCCCUCCAUCUCCACGCCUGCGCAAAGCAUGUCCGCCAGCUCCCAGCAUUGGUCGGGCUCCAGCAGGAACCCCCACGGGACUCGGAGGCCAGGUAUCGUCGGACCUCCCUGCCCAGCGAGGUGUCCCCCAGCUCUCGCAGACCACGGAAAAGCGUUGGGGUGGUCUGAGGGUAAGACUCAGCUUCGAUCACCUGCUUGAUGUACUCUGCCGUGAUCUCUGUGAUCCCCUUGGAGCCUGUGACCUUUAAACUUUUUCCUAGACAUGAUAGAUCUAAAAGAGUCUGGUUGGGUGUUGUUGAGAGGCCAAGGAGGAAGCAGAGGAAGAGGUCAUAAGUUCCUUGCGUAUUCCGUAAAAAAAAACCUGUCCACGGAGCAUCUGCGGAUGUGUAAAAGAGUUGCUCUCCUGAACGUCCUUUUCAAUCGAUCAAAGAUUGUAGUAUUUUGGAGUAGUAUGUUUCUUCUUUUGUUUAUGUAGGUGAGAAACACGUGCAUAGCAGCUAGGUAGUCUUGAAUGCCGUGUACGCAAAGUGGUACAUUUCCUCCAGGUACAUCUCACACCCUGCGAUGAGCGGCCUAGACAACGUAUGGAAUGGGGAACUUUUGGAGACGUCGAUUCCGUGUUCCUUCCCAUCCCUCUCGCUGAAUAUGAGGCUUCCUCUCUCCAGUUGUAGAAAACCAAGCUUCCAUAGCUUAUGAACAACCUCUCUGAUUGAUUCUGAAUGUUCACCAUUUUGAUUGUUCUUCAAACCGAUCUGAACAAGCAAAAAGUGAGUGUAUAGUUGUGUCAGAGUGUCUGUCUCUACACACUCUCCCUCCUCAGUGUUUUCUAAAAUGGCCGCCAACAUCUCACAGCACAACGGUAUCUGGCACAGGACGCAGAGGGGUCUCGCUCUCCGACGUCAUGGAUGAGUGGAAGUGGUUGAUGAGGUCACUCAGA